GGCGGUGUAGCUCAGCUGGCUAGAGCGUACGGUUCAUCCCCGUGAGGUGGGGGGUUCGACCCCCUCCACCGCCACUA
rnacentral:tRNA from 1 species